rnacentral:miRNA from 1 species
UAGGGUGGGGGAAGGUGCUAC